GAUGAACGCUAGCGGCAGGCCUAACACAUGCAAGUCGAGGGGCAUCAUGGCGUAGCAAUACGCUGAUGGCGACCGGCGCACGGGUGCGUAACGCGUAUGGAACCUACCCACCGCAGGGGGAUAACCCGCCGAAAGGCGGACUAAUACCCCAUGGUUCCCCGACCCUGCCUGGGGUUGGGGGUAAAGCCUACGGGCGGCGGUGGAUGGCCCUGCGUGCCAUUAGCUGGCUGGUGGGGUAACGGCCCACCAGGGCGACGAUGGCUAGGGGGUCUGAGAGGACGAUCCCCCACACUGGUACUGAGACACGGACCAGACUCCUACGGGAGGCAGCAGUGAGGAAUAUUGGUCAAUGGGCGGAAGCCUGAACCAGCCAUGCCGCGUGCAGGAUGACGGCCCUACGGGUUGUAAACUGCUUUUCCACGGGAAGAACCCUCCGACGUGUCGGAGACUGACGGUACCGUGGGAAUAAGCACUCCGGCUAACUCCGUGCCAGCCAGGACCGCGGUAAAACGUAGCGUG
rnacentral:rRNA from 1 species